GCCUGUUUGAGUGUCUUGAAAACUCAUCCUAAUCGGGUCUUCCUGUAUUAGUGAUGGAUUGGGUGUCUGCCGUCUCCGGCUCGCCUUAAAAACAUAAGGGAAUGACCCAGAUGUAAUACGUUUCAUCUACAAGUCGCUCCCUCACAAACACCAUCUUUCAUUCUGACCUCAAAUCAGGUAGGGCUACCCGCUGAACUUAA
rnacentral:misc_RNA from 1 species